GGGGUCUGGUUCGGGUGAAAAGGGAAGCCGGUGCAAAUCCGGAGCAACAGCCAUUACUGUGAUGGGAUGGCGGGCGCAAAAGCCAUUGAGCGAUGCUUGAGAAGGCGCGUCCGCGGGAAAGCGAUUUCCGCGUCCUCAGCCAGGAGACCUGCCGCAUGCGU
rnacentral:ncRNA from 1 species